ACGAACGCUGGCGGCGUGCUUAACACAUGCAAGUCGAACGGAAAGGCCCUGCUUUUGUGGGGUGCUCGAGUGGCGAACGGGUGAGUAACACGUGAGUAACCUGCCCUUGACUUUGGGAUAACUUCAGGAAACUGGGGCUAAUACCGGAUAGGAGCUCCUGCUGCAUGGUGGGGGUUGGAAAGUUUCGGCGGUUGGGGAUGGACUCGCGGCUUAUCAGCUUGUUGGUGGGGUAGUGGCUUACCAAGGCUUUGACGGGUAGCCGGCCUGAGAGGGUGACCGGAGACAGUGGGAGAGAAGGACGGACGGGGCGGAUGCCGGAGGCAGCAGUGGGGGGUAGUGCAGGAUGGGCUGAGGCCUGAUGCAGGAGUGCCGCGUGGGGGAUGACGGGCUGCGGGUAGUGGACAGAGUACGCCUGGGGCGAAGCGUGCGUGACGGUGAGGUAUAAGGCCGCACACGCUACUAAGGUC
rnacentral:rRNA from 1 species